rnacentral:rRNA from 1 species
GACGAACGCUGGCGGCGUGCUUAACACAUGCAAGUCGAACGGAAAGGCCCUGCUUGCAGGGUACUCGAGUGGCGAACGGGUGAGUAACACGUGGGUGAUCUGCCCUGCACUUCGGGAUGAGCCUGGGAAACUGGGUCUAAUACCGGAUAGGAGCCAUUUUUAGUGUGAUGGUUGGAAAGUUUUUUCGGUGUAGGAUGAGCUCGCGGCCUAUCAGCUUGUUGGUGGGGUAAUGGCCUACCAAGGCGGCGACGGGUAGCCGGCCUGAGAGGGUGGACGGCCACAUUGGGACUGAGAGACGGCCCAGACUCCUACGGGAGGCAGCAGGGGGGAAUAUUGCACAAUGGGCGCAAGCCUGAUGCAGCGACGCCGCGUGGGGGAUGACGGCCUUCGGGUUGUAAACUCCUUUCGCUAGGGACGAAGCUUUUUGUGACGGUACCUAGAUAAGAAGCACCGGCUAACUACGUG